rnacentral:rRNA from 1 species
AUACGUAGGGUGCAAGCGUUAAUCGGAAUUACUGGGCGUAAAGCGUGCGCAGGCGGUUUUGUAAGACAGUGGUGAAAUCCCCGGGCUCAACCUGGGAACUGCCAUUGUGACUGCAAGGCUGGAGUGCGGCAGAGGGGGGUGGAAUUCCGCGUGUAGCAGUGGAAUGCGUAGAUAUGCGGAGGAACACCGAUGGCGAAGGCAAUCCCCUGGGCCUGCACUGACGCUCAUGCACGAAAGCGUGGGGAGCAAACAGGAUUAGAUACCCUGGUAGUCCACGCCCUAAACGAUGUCAACUGGUUGUUGGGGAUUUAUUUUCUCAGUAACGAAGCUAACGCGUGAAGUUGACCGCCUGGGGAGUACGGCCGCAAGGUUAAAACUCAAAUGAAUUGACGGGG